GGGGGGAGGCGGGAUCCUGGGCUGUGUCCCGGCGCCCUGUGCUCCGGGGCCUGCGCUGUUGGAUUCUCACUCCCGCCCCGCAGCCCCCU
rnacentral:pre_miRNA from 1 species